CUCCUACGGGAGGCAGCAGUGGGGAAUAUUGCACAAUGGGGGAAACCCUGAUGCAGCGACGCCGCGUGAAGGAUGAAGUAUUUCGGUAUGUAAACUUCUAUCAGCAGGGAAGAAAAUGACGGUACCUGACUAAGAAGCCCCGGCUAACUACGUGCCAGCAGCCGCGGUAAUACGUAGGGGGCAAGCGUUAUCCGGAUUUACUGGGUGUAAAGGGAGCGUAGACGGUAUGGCAAGUCUGAUGUGAAAGGCCAGGGCUCAACCCUGGGACUGCAUUGGAAACUGUCGAACUAGAGUGUCGGAGAGGCAAGUGGAAUUCCUAGUGUAGCGGUGAAAUGCGUAGAUAUUAGGAGGAACACCAGUGGCGAAGGCGGCUUGCUGGACGAUGACUGACGUUGAGGCUCGAAAGCGUGGGGAGCAAACAGGAUUAGAUACCCUGGUAGUCCACGCCGUAAACGAUGACUACUAGGUGUCGGGUAGCAGAGCUAUUCGGUGCCGCAGCCAA
rnacentral:rRNA from 1 species